CUUACGAAUCAGGAGUGCUUAAGGAAUUAGGCUGAGAAAUGACAUAGUCCUGUCAUUAAUCCUUUGGGGUAUCCCAUGACCUGAUCCAGGUAAUGCUGGCGGAGGGAGAUAUUAUAACAGGCGC
rnacentral:ncRNA from 1 species